rnacentral:rRNA from 1 species
CAUGCAGUCGAACGGGCAUAGCAAUAUGUCAGUGGCAGACGGGUGAGUAACGCGUGGGAACAUACCUCUUGGUUCGGAACAACACAGGGAAACUUGUGCUAAUACCGGAUAAGCCCUUACGGGGAAAGAUUUAUCGCCGAGAGAUUGGCCCGCGUCUGAUUAGCUAGUUGGUGUGGUAAAGGCGCACCAAGGCGACGAUCAGUAGCUGGUCUGAGAGGAUGAUCAGCCACAUUGGGACUGAGACACGGCCCAAACUCCUACGGGAGGCAGCAGUGGGGAAUAUUGGACAAUGGGCGCAAGCCUGAUCCAGCCAUGCCGCGUGAGUGAUGAAGGCCUUAGGGUUGUAAAGCUCUUUUGUACGGGAAGAUAAUGACGGUACCGUAAGAAUAAGCCCCGGCUAACUUCGUGCCAGCAGCCGCGGUAAUACGAAGGGGGCUAGCGUUGCUCGGAAUCACUGGGCGUAAAGGGUGCGUAGGCGGGUUUUUAAGUCAGAGGUGAAAUCCUGGAGCUCAACUCCAGAACUGCCUUUGAUACUGAAAGUCUUGAGUAUGGGAGAGGUGAGUGGAACUGCGAGUGUAGAGGUGAAAUUCGUAGAUAUUCGCAAGAACACCAGUGGCGAAGGCGGCUCACUGGCCCAUUACUGACGCUGAGGCACGAAAGCGUGGGGAGCAAACAGGAUUAGAUACCCUGGUAGUCC